UAAAAAACAUGCAUUUAAUAUAAAUAUAAAAAAAUAUAUAAUAUAUAAGUAUAUUAGUAUAAUAAAAAAUAAAUACAAAAAUUAAAAAUGAAUUAAUACAAAUUAGACAGUGAUUAAGACAAUGGGAAUGCCAGCUGGAGCAGCCAAUCAUCAGUCUGGGACUCGACACCGAGGAGCCAAUCAGCAGCCGAGAAGUGGAGCUGCAGUCUGAAGGAGGGCGUUUUUAAAUGAAGGAGAAGGACCACGCUAGAACCAGCUACCAAUUAUCCACCAGGACACCUGUCGAGAUGGAGCCGAGCUGUAACCAGUUAGCUUCAACAUUUAGCCCCAGGUUACUCUACAAGAUCUACUACAAAAAUGUCUAAAAGGAUGUUGAACCCCAUGGAUGACCUGCCCUGCCGAGAUUUACAAGAUUUCUGCCUCUCGGAGAAGAAGCCUCAGCUCGGGGGGGGGGAGGGACGCCGUCCUCGGGAUGUUAAUUACCCCACAGUCACCGGCGGGAGUUCUGCUGAUAGAGAGCGACCAGCUCAGAGCGAGACCGUGCAGCCGGCGAGAGAUUCAUGACCUGCUUUAAUCUUCUUUUCACUUGUUGACUCCAUCCUUCUGGUUAUCACUACAAUUUAUUUUUCUACCGCUUGCUGCCACCAGCAGCAAAGUUAUAACCGCCUGCUCCCGCUGGAUCCCAAUCGUAUUGGUAUACUGGUAUCUGAUACCCUUUCUAGUAUCGGUAUACCGUGCAACACUAAUCUCGACAGCUCAACGUUCGGACAUGAGUUGUUGUUGUUGUGUUUGCUACACAAAAUACAGACCAUGAAUUGAAAAGGCUGUAAAUCAGUUGUGUGUUUCAUAAGAGAGCAGCAGAGAGGAAGGGAGGAGGUGACGGAGAGAUGAGUGUUAUGUGGGUGGGUGAUAAUGUGGUUGGGGGCUGAUAACACCACCUGUCAGUCUAAAGUGUUGUUGAUGUGUUUUCAGUUGGAUAACUAACGUGCAGCCCGUUGACUCCUGACCCUGGAAACAGGACCCGGGUCACCCAGCGGGGAGGAUUUAAACUCACAGUCAGGAUUAUUAUGGAUUAUCCAUCUGUCAGAGAUGCUGCUGGGAUGUUCCCCAACAAUAUAAAAUACAUAAUAGAGAGGGAAUUAUGACCUACUUAACUUCCUAACAUGAG